UUUUAAACUUCUGAUUUACUAUUCAUUGCUUAUCAGUUACUCCCUUAAUGGGAUCUUAUAAUCAAAAUUACUUCCAUAU
rnacentral:sRNA from 1 species